UGUGUGUGUAUGUGUGUAUGUGUGUAUGUGUGUACCUGUGUUAAAUGACCAAGAAAGAUGACCAUGGAGUUAAUGGAAUGUUGCCUGCUCACACCUAAACUAAGGGUUCUUUGGUUUAAUUUUCACCUUGCAGAGUAGAACUAGGCAAAUUCUACCUUCUCAACCUGAGUUCUUCCUCCUCCAUCUGUACUGCUUUGCAACUGUGUGUUUAUAUUCUUUAAGAACUGAGGGAAAACAUUAUGUAAAGGCUACAUCUAAUUAGUGAGGCAACUUUAUUUGAAAUCAAG